GAUGAAGAACGUAGCGAAAUGCGAUAAGUAGUGUGAAUUGCAGAAUUCAGUGAAUCAUCGAAUCUUUGAACGCACAUUGCGCCCUUUGGUAUUCCUUAGGGCAUGCCUGUUCGAGCGUCAUUUAAACCUUCAAGCCCUGCUUGGUGUUGGGUGCCUGUCCCGCCCCCGCGCGUGGACUCACCUCAAAUCCAUUGGCGGCCCCCGCAAGGCCACGAGCGCAGCAGAAACGCAAACUCGUGUGCCCGGCGGGCGGCUCCCAGAAGCUACACCCACCAUUUUGACCUCGUAUCAGGUAGGGAUACCCGCUGAACUUAAGCAUAUCAAUAAGCGGAGGA
rnacentral:misc_RNA from 1 species